AUCUGGGGACAACGCUGCGGGCAUCGAGGCGGUGGCGCUUGAUUUCCUUUAAAGUACCUACCACGCCACCCGCUACCUGUAAUAAUCCAUCUGAAGAGGUCGCCGGGCAGCGCCUCGGCAGACAGACUGACCUGCGGGGAGGUGCGGUUUCCAGUGGCGCGGGACAGCCGGCUCCGAGAAGGAACUGGGACCUUUGCCUAGGGCAAGACGUCAACAGGAACCCGCAGGCCCGGCCUGGACACCUGCUGCCCUCACUGGAAGCUUUAACUCCCACUCGAGUCUCUUGGCGUCGUCAGUGCCAGGAGCGCUUGGAUUGGGAUGGGGACGGAGAAGGGUGCCUCGCUCGCCGAGCCCCGCUGCCCUUGGGGACCUGGCAAAGUCGAGGUUUCCUCACAGCGUUGAGAUUGAGACUGGGGGUCGGAAGUGAGAAAAGUAGUGACAACUUGAAGCUGGUAGUUGAGGAAGAAGGAGAACUUCUGAACCCAUGAAGAGAGUAUACCCGGUUUGGGUGGGCAGGACUCCAAAGCCUUUAGGAUCGAUGGACCAGAACAGAGAAAUGAAAAUGCAACAAGAACAGCUGUGGGGAAAAGGCAGAAGGCAGCACUGAGAAGUGAAGGAAUAUUUGGGAGGAUCAGAAGCUUGGUCCUGAUUUUGCCAUCAACAGGAACUUGAUGACUUCAAGGGAGUCCCCAAACCCUGGGUUUCUGUUUUCUCAACUCUAACAUGAGGGGCUAGAUGCAUCUGGUUUAGUUAGUCUCCAUGAUGGUUUAGUUCGUCUCCAUGAUCCUGUGAAUUUCAGAUGUUGAAAAUCUUCGGAAAAGCCCUGAAAGAUGAACAGGAACUAUGGUUGCUAACACAAGAAUCGGCACUGGUGACUUUUGAGCCAUCAAUCAUCCUUUCCUAACACAUGAAUCUUUUGGAAAAGGGUCUCAAAUAGUCAAGACCCCCUGCUGGGAGGAGCUUCUAUCCUGCUCUGUGGAAGAAAUGGGCAUGCCAGAUGCCUGGAAGAUCAGAGGCUCACAUUCCAGGUGGGUGGACCUCAAUAACAAUCAGAUAACAGUUGAGACAGCUGGUGAAAGAGAUGAGGAAGAACACUAAGCGAUUUCCCGGAAGACAGCAGAAAGAACAACCAGUACACAGGCUGAGGAUGUAAACAAACCCGCCAUGUUGUGGAAACCAGGAGGAGGCUCAUGUGCCCAAAAUGCAGUCAGUAGGAGAUAAGGUCAGAGAAGUAAGAAGGUGUCAACUCAAUAGGGCUCAAAGUUAGAGAAACCUGAGAGGGGUGUACUGGUAUGACCACCCGAGAUCCCAUCGCUGAGAAAGAUAAUGGCCCUGGAGACAAAGACUGAUGAAGAAAGACAGUAUCCAGCUGUGAUGCAGAUGAAACAUGCGGCAUGGUUGCACUCACUAUGCAGCCAAGGCUGGAAGCCACUCUGGAUCCAGCCACUCUGGCACAGCGUUCUUGCUCUAGGAAGAACAACUGAACAUGGCCACACAGGCCUCACAGCUGGCAUAUGGAGGCUGUUAAUAAGCUGAGCUUGAGGCUUCAAAGGACUCUUGUAGCCUGUGCUGGAUCUAGCAGUGACCAGUAUGCCAGUGGCCAUGGAUGCCCAGGCCCAUGUUCAGUAGUGAAGCAGGUGCUAGCAGCAGAAGCAAUAGAAAUGGAAACUGGGAGAUCUGCUGUGGAUGAAUCUCAUUAUCUUCUUUCUCUGACCCUCUUUGGACUAAAUAAACUCCCAGUAUUCUUGACCAACAGAGGUAGGGUUGGAACAGAACCUCAAAAGUCAUCAUUAGACUUCCUACUAAUAGGGCAUUGGAAGUUCAAGCGACUAACUAGGAAACAGGUUAGUAUUUGUACCCCUACACUGUGCAACAGAUUACAUACCAUUUGCUCUAUUUGGCAUCCUUUCCUUAGGCUAGAUUCCCAGAAGAAAGAUUACUGAUUCGAAGGGCAUGAACAUUUUUAUGACUCUUGGCCUAAAUUACUAGGCCAAGGUUUUUUCAAAGGGAUGCACUAAUUUUCACUAUUUCCCCACACCCUUUCAGGUGAUAAAUAAUUGACUUGAUUUGUUUACACUGACGCCAAGAAUUCUUGGGAAGAAGGAUCAAAGUGAAAAGUGGUAGCCCAUGGUGGGGAGGCCACACUCAGUGCAGUUGUGAAGUCAGCAGCAUUUUUAAGCCCAUUCAUUGCCAGUAGCCCUGAGAUGAGCAUUCCCAAGCUGCUUCCCAGGUCCCUCCUCCACUCUCUCAGGGACAUCCAUUCUGUACCAGCCCCCUCAGAUACUCAUGCCCUUGCCCUCCCUUCUCCAUGCUCAUUAAAACCAGCUUAAGAGCAGAUAUGACAUCAGUCACUUACCUUUUCGUGUGGCUCUAAAUCAAAGUGUCACCUCUCCCAAGCACAUGCUUGCAUCUUAGCUCUGAUUGAGGAAUGAAAAGCUUUGUUCUCUGUUAAAAGAACUUUGAGCUUAGAUGCCCCAGACUGAGAAAUCCACCAAAAGCUGGACCUUUGACUUGAGCGGCAAAGGACCCCCAUAGUCAGGCUGUGAUUUGAGGAGCAUCAAGAGGCCAGAGUUUCCAAGUUGGGACCCAGAAGGUGGGGUUGGCAGGGGGAGGGUAGGAGCAGCUGGAGACUCUGCUCUACCAGGGGAAUACGGAGGUGGGGACCAAUCCCAGGGUAAGGAAUGAAAGUAGGAGCCCCAGAAGCUGAAAACAUACUUCACCGAUGUCAGCAUUUUACCCAGAGCCAUUCCAAGGUGACCAUAACUCACUUAAAAGCCUGAAAGCUGUUUUAUGCCAACUAAUAAAGUGCAGUUUAAUAAAAAAGGCCUCUGUUCCUGCCUCUAUAAAUGGUGAUAAUACAGUUGUGCUGUGUGCUCGCCCGGGGCUAUGGUGAGGAAUCAAUGAGGAAAUAUACAAAAGAGCCCUAGCACAGAACCUGAUUCAUCACUGAUGCUCGGCCACAACAAAAAGAUGUUCCAAGCCAUGUAGGUGGCCCACCAGGUGUCAACAACUGUAG
rnacentral:lncRNA from 10 species